AUUGGACUCGUUUUGCCUCAACAAAUAAAGGCUUGGGCUAACAAAAACCUACCUAAUGGAGAAGUCGUUGGCGAAGUCACAAGGCCCUCUACUUUUCAUUAUAAAACCGAUAAACUAGAAAAAGAUGGAUUGUUUUGCAAAAGAAUCUUUGGACCCAUAAAAAGCGGGAUUUGCGCUUGUGGCAAUUCUUGAGCGAGUGGAGCUGAAAACGAAGACGAAAGAUUUUGCCAAAAAUGCAGGGUAGAAUUUGUGGAUUCUCGGAUAUGA
rnacentral:rRNA from 1 species